rnacentral:lncRNA from 1 species
CACCAGACAGAUGAGAAACCCGGGUUUAGAGAGGACAGGUAAUUGAGCCAAGGCCACACAGCCGUCAAGUAGCAGAACCAGUCUUCUUCAGAAUUCCACAUUCCAAAGCUUGGGCUGUUUCCAGAGUACAAGGACAGGCCCUCAGGGAGGGCUCCGGGUGCAUGAGGAACAGAAUGAAGUCAUAUUUCCCAACAGUCACAUCCUCUCAGGUUCACAGGGUGGCUUCCAGCUCCAUGACAGGAAAUAACCCUUCUCCCAGGAAGCUCCCUGUGGUGAGGUCUUUUUUUUGUGGAAAAAAGCAUUCUUGUUCUCAGAAGCCUGGAUCUGCCUGGCGCCAGAGGGCCACUCACACUGUUUUCUCAUGAGUGGCGCCCCCUGGAGUUGCGGAAGGCCUCAGCCCUGGCUGUACAAUUGCUUUAUUUCUCAUGGUAUAUUUUUAGGGGAGGGGUGGCAGUCUUGGGGAAGGACUAUGACAUCUGCUCUUGGAAUGUUCCCAGCCCUGCUAAGGUUCAAAGCCUACCUCUGUUCUGGGGUCUUUCACUUCGGGUUCCUCCGGUUCUCACUGACACGUCAGGUGGGAACCAAUAACCUAAGCCUAAAACUCACAUUAUCUUGAAAACCUAGAAGAGGAAACUCCUCUUGUCAUUAGAAGUAUUUCAGAGACUCUGAGACAAGGGUAUCCCCAAAUGUGCAUGUGAUUAUAUGACUAGAUUCUCUAGAAGCUACUAUCAUACACAGGUCUCUUGUGGCAGAGCAGGUUAAGGACCCUCUGUUGUCACCUAGCAGCUCAGGUCGCUGCUGUGGCACAGGUUUGAACCCUGGCCUUGGGAAAUUCCACAUUCCAGAAGCGUGUCCAAAAGAAAAAAAAAAGAAGUUACUAUCAUAUAAAAUUCAAAAAUAACCACUUUUAGGUGAGAAUCUAGGAGUCAUUUUGGUGAAUGUGGGGGCAAAGGAGGGGAAGAGAAGGAAGGGAGGAGACUUCCGUGUUUCUGUAAAAAUAAUUAUAGGUCGAGGCAUCUUCUCCUGCUUCAUUCUUUUUUUUUUAAUUUAUUUUUUUCACUGUACAGCAUGGGGACCAAGUUACACAUACAUGUAUACAUUUUUUUUACUCCCAUUGUUGUGUUGCGAUGUAAGUAUCUAGACAUAGUUCUCAAUGCUACACAGCAGGAUCUCAUUGUAAAUCCGUUCCAAGAGCAAUAGUUUGCAUCUGAUAACCCCAAGCUCCCAAUCCCUCCCACUCCCUCCCUCUCCCCCUGGGCAGCCACAAGUCUAUUCUCCAAGUGCAUGAUUUUCUUUUCUAUGGAAAUGUUCAUUUGUGCUGUAUAUUAGGUUCUAGUUAUAAGUGAUAUCAUAUGGUAUUUGUCUUUGUCUUUCUGACUUAUUUCACUCAGUAUGAGAGUCUCUAGUUCCAUCCACGUUGCUGCAAAUGGCAUUAUGUUGUUCUUUUUUAUGGCUGAGUAGUAUUCCACUGUGUAUAUAUACCACAUCUUCCUAAUCCAAUUGUCUGUUGAUGGACAUUUAGGUUUUUUCCAUGUCUUGGCUAUUGUGAAUAGUGCUGCAAUGAACAUGUGGGUUCAUGUGUCUUUUUUAAGGAAACUUUUGUCUGGAUGUAUGCCCAAGAGUGGGACUGCGGGGUCAUAGGGUGGUUCUAUGUAUAGAUUUCUAAGGUAUCUCCAAACUGUUCUUCAUAGUGCCGGUACCAUCCUGUUUCAUUCUUAAUAGGUAGGUAUCCCUACUUUGCUGGGCCCAUCAGGGUCUGAAUUCUACUUUCCUGUGGCCAAAGGUCCAUACAUUCUCCUAGCUGAACCCCCGGGAGCUGGUGACCAACAGGAAGACCAGCAGUAGUGAGAAAAGCAGUCUUGAUCUGUGGACCAAAGGUAGCUUUAAAUGAGCUAAACUCCUUGUACUUGGGGUUUGAAUAAGCCUUUCCCAUUUUUAGUACCCAUCUUUGAUCUGCUUUUUGCUUGACGACAAAUCGACAGAUAACUUGUCCACAAGAAACAGAAGGGAAAGGAAGCUGAAGGAGACUUCAAGAAAGUAAUGCCCCCUAACACAAAACCAUUUCUCAUGGCUAGCUUCCACCUAUCAUCAAGCUUUCCAAAUGAGACUAGGUAUCACAGAGAGAAGGAAGUAGUGGGAUUUGUUCCUCUCUGUACUAAAUCAAUAAAUGUGACAGACUUUUUGUGAUUACAAUAAGAAAUAUUGAUAUUUGGGAGUUCCCAUUGUGGCUCAGCGGGAUUGAACCCGCGUCCUCAUGGAUACUAGUCAGGUUCAUUAACCACUGAGCCAAGAUGGGAACUCCGACAUUCAAAAUUAUGUUUCAGUGUGUCUUGUUUCUCCAAAUCAGACCAGGAGUUCUUUGAAAUGAGGACGUGAUCCACAGUGUGAGAGGCCAGACCAGGAACUUUGUUUCCAGAGGUCAGGCUUGUUCACCCACUGCUGGAGCCACGGGCUUGCCUUUUAGUAGAUUUUCCUGAAUGGGAACAGGAUGCCUCCCAGAUCCUGAGGCAAGGGUUGAGUCUUCCAGAAGGAGUGGUGCAAGCACAGCCUCCUUGGGUUGUGGGCCUAAGUUCUUGGUGAUGCUUCCUUUUCUGGAUUAUAGGAAGCUCAGCCCUCUUUCCGAAACCUGCAAAGAUUAUAUUCUUAUUCUACCUCAAUAUGAUGUCGACUUUUGAAUCUUGGCAAAUGUCCUCUUGUUCAAUCCUUAACUUUCUUGAACCUUUUCUUACAAUUCUAUAUGGGUCUUUAUUUUUAUUUUAUUUUAUUUUAUUUUUUUAAGAACUGAUCUUUUUUAUUUGGGUGGUGCAAACCCAGGGCAUUGAGAAUAAGAAAAGGGAUGUGAGGUGAGGAAAAACGGGAGGUAACACAAGGUGAUAGCAGAUUAAGCCUCGUUCAUGACAAACCUAGAAGAGGCAUAGAAGGUGUGUCCACUGGCUACUUGGAGGUCUUCUCAUUGGCUGAACUGGAGAAAUGGUGUCUUGCACCAAUUCCGGGAAGGGAUGGAAGAAGGGGAAAUUUAUCUGCUUGGCUUUCUCCCAUCUCCCAUUAGUCAAAUGCUACCCUCAGAGCAUUAACUCCUCCACACUCCUAGGUGGCUAGUAGCCAUUUGAGAUGCCAGAUCUUAUGUCCUGUAGGGAGUAUUCCAUCUAAGUCUGAAAAUGGGGGGAGGAGACAAACUCUGGGCAUGUGGCUCGUGAGUGCCAGAGAAAAUUGGAUUUUUUUUUUCUUUUUCUUUUUGGUUUUUAGGGCCGAACCGGCAGCAUAUGGAAGUUCCCAGGCUAGAGGUUGAAUCAGAGCUGUAGCUGCUGGCUUACGCCAGAGCCACAGCAAUUCGGGAUCCAAUCCGAGCACAUCUGUGACUUACACUACAGCUCAUAGCAUCGGUGGAUCCCCAACCUGUUGAGUGAGGCCAAGGAUCAAACCCAUUCAUCCCUUACUAUUUAUCCUUCUCAUUUGUGGGCCAUGUGCUUUUCAGAUCAGGUUAAUAGAAGAGUUCCUUGGUGUCCACUUUGUCACUUUGGUUUCAUCAGUUCUGUUCAGUGGGGGCACUACUGGCAUUAGGGGAACAAUUCUGUGGUCCUCAGGUUAAAGGACUUUUGGCAUCCCUGGCCUUCCACCCCUGAGAACCAGCACCACACCCAGCAUUAGAACAAGUAAAAAUGCUUCCAUGCAUUUCCAAGUGGCUCCUAGUUGAGUCACACAGUUUUUGAUACUAUCUCCCCACCCCACACUCCAAAAACAUGCUUUCUCCCGAAAUGGGAUUGUUUUCGCCUCUGUUAAUAGACUGUUUCUUUUUCGGGGUGGGGGGGUUGGCACCCACAGCAUGUAGAAGUUCCCAGGCCAGGAAUUGAACCUGUGCCACAGUGGCGACAUGAGCUGCUUCAGUGACAGUGCCAGAUCCUUAACCCACUGUGCAUCAGGGAUCUCUGAGUGUUUCUCUCUCUCUCUCUCUCUCUCUCUCUCUUUUUUUUUUUUUUCCUUUUUUAGGGCUGCACCUCUGGCAUGUGGAAGUUCCCGGGCUAGGGGGUUGAACUGGGGCUGCAGCUGCAGGCCACAGCCUCAGCAACCCUAGAUUGGAGCCGCAUCUGUGACCUAUGCUGCAGCUGCGACAAUGCCAGAUUCUUUAAGCCACUGAGUGAGGCCAGGGAUCAGACUGGCAUCCUCAUGGAUACUAGUCAGAUUCUUAACCCGCUGAGCCACAACAGGAACUCCAGCUGUUUUUUUGAAAGCUUUUCAUAUCUUUAGGUUAUUCUUCCUUUUAGGGGUUUUAUUUUUGCUUUGGAAUAUCAUAUAUUGUUUUGUUUUACUUACUAUUAUGGGUAUUGUCAAACAUAUACAAAUAGAGAGAGUAGUGUCGUGAACCCCAGAGGAUUAGUCACCUAGUUUCAACAAUGAUCAACUCAAAGACAAUCCUGUUUUCUUCUGUACCUGCACCUACCACCCUCCACCCACUUCCUGCUGUUAUGAGAUAAUUUUGAAGCAAAUUACAGACAUCAUUCAUUGUAUGCAGCUUUUUGAUAAACUUUUGGAUAUCUGUGUGUGUGUGUGUGUGUGUGUGUGUGUGUGUGUGUGUGUGUGUGUGUGUGUAUGUGAAGUCAACAAGGAUGAAAGUGAAACACUGUCUUAAUUCUCCAGGACUCCACCCUUUCAUAUCCCUGCUUGCUUCUGGUUCCCAGACUUGAGUCCAGUGUGGCAGCUGAUUUCCUUGUUUCCUCUAUAUCCUGAGACAAAAAUGUCCCAACAGAUCAAGAAUUUAUCAGAUGGUCUGUUUGUAGCAGAGGGAGACUUGAAGAAGCUAUUUGGAUCAUGCAAGUCUCAUUCCUGCUCCAUGUUUUCUCUGUGCUAGUUUGGUGAUCUGUUUUAGGCAACUGACAGCCACAUCUUUCCUAACAUAGUUUUACACUGUCCAACUAUCAUUUCUCUUUCUCUCUUUGUAGUCCCUGAAAACUUUCCACCAGCCUGGAAAUCUGGGUCUGUGACUUAAGGAGCCCUCCUAUUUUGUUCUUUGCCUGACCCACCCACUUGGAAAAGGUAUAUGUCCUUCUGCUGAUGUACUUGCGUUACAGUUCCCAUCCCAGCACUUAAUGAGCCUAAGAGAUUGCUUUUCAGUUGUGACUAUAAAAAUAUUUUGGAAAUGAGGGGAACACAUGUUGAGUCAGUUAAUGGUUGAGUGCUAAUAGGCAGCAGCGGGAGAUCAGAAUGAUUGGUUCUGUCAUGACUGGUUCUUAAAGGAUUAGGACAAUCAAAUGGUAUGUCUUGCCUUCUUCCUUCGCACCCUCAUGGGAUGUCUGCUGACUAUUUGAUUGCCCAGUGGUUAGAAUUGAUUAUCCCUGCUGACUUUGGGGCAGCUCUUGAAAAACAAAUUGAUGAACCAUGUAAACACUAAGCUUGACCUGGAACACUCAUAAGUGCCAAACCAUUGACUCUGAAGCCCCUGGGCUUUUCAGUUCUUUCUAGGAGCCAUGACCUUGACCUGGGAUGCAACUUUUCAGCCAGACUCUCACUGAAUUAUGGCUAGUCCCUUGGGGUUUUUUUUCCCCAAUGUUAACUCCCCUCCAACUUUUUUGCUUCGAGAUGGGUGUUUAAAAAUAGUAUAGAUCUGUGUUAGGAACAGUUUUAAGGCUCCCUGUACACCUGGCCUGAAAGCAGAUCCAGCAGAAAGAAGAAGGUGCUAACCAUGCCCAUAGCAGACUCUCCAAAGAAAUGUGGAGACGCUUAUAUCCAAUUAGUAAGUGCACUGUUAUUUAGAAAGCUCUUGUCGGAACAUUUUCUGUUUUUCUUUUUUCUUUUUUUUGUCUUUUUGCCAUUUCUUGGGCCACUCCUGCGGCAUAUGGAGGUUCCCAGGCUAAGGGUCAAAUCAGAGCUGUAGCUGCCGGCCGACACCAGAGCCACAGCAACUUGGGAUCUGAGCCGAAUCUGUGAGCUACACCACAGCUCACGGCAACUCCAGAUCCUUAACCCACUGAGCAAGGGCAGGGACCGAACCCACAACCUCAUGGUUCCUAGUCGGAUUCGUUAACCACUGAGCCAGGACGGGAACUCCUAAAAAGGUGUAAUUUUGACUGCUUUAUCUUCUUUUGUGCUUCUAACAUUAAGCCUAGCUUCAAGAGUGCAAUGGUAUUAUUAUCAUUAUUAUUGACACUAGCCAAAUACUGACGGUGAUUUAAGGAAUUUGCCUAAAUCAAACAGUUCAUUCGAAGAGAGUCUGAAUCCUUUGUCUCUGCCAGAAUAGUUUGCCAGGUUUUUCCACUCAUUCCCUCUGCUUUUGCCAAAGUCAUAGUCAAUAAUAAUUCAGUCCAGCAAGAACAUUUCAACGGCCCUCAGCAGAUGAGUAAGUCACCAUCAUGAGUCGCAGGGUAGAAGGACUUUGAGACAAAAAAGAUCCACAUCCUUGCCUACCUUCUGAAUUGUUGUGUCAACUAAAAGAGCAAAUGUGGGAGUUCCUGUUGUGGUGCAGUGGAAACAAAUCCAACUAGGAACCGAAAGGUUGCGGGUUCCAUCCCUGGCCUUGCUCAGCAGGUUAAGGAUCCAGCCUUGCCAUGAGCUGUGGUGUAGGUCACAGAUGCAGCUCAGAUCUGGUGUUGCUGUGGCUGUGGCAUAGGCCGGCAGCUGUAGCUCUGAUUUGACCCCUAGCCUGGGAACCUCCCUAUGUCGUAGGUGCAGCCCUAAAAAGCAAAAAAAAAAAAAA